GACCAAACAGUGGAUGUGAGCACGUUUAGGCAGUAAGUGGUGCAUUUCAGCAGUGAUGAUCACAAUGUGGAAGACACAUCACAUUCCAGAUGGCCACGCACAGCUGGCACACUACAGAAGUGAGAGCAGCUUGAUCAGUUCAUCCAUGCAAACUGCAAAAAGCUUAAUAUCACCUUCAAUUAAUUGGAAAUGAUGGUGGAAUAUUGCAAAGUUUGAGCCAAGUGGGUCCCAUGAAAGCUCAUGCAGGAAUAGAAAAAGCAUGCAAGUUUGUCAGAACAUACUGAACCAAUACAAGGCUGAAGUUGACAGAUUUUUAUAUUAUGGUAUGUAGGCUUUUGUUUGUCACUGACAAAAAUGCAUAGCUAAUGGUGGUGACAAGGCUGAAAAAUAGUGUUUUGCUGAAAAUUUGCCACAAAUAGUGUUAAUAUGCAUAUUAUUAUGUUAUUAUCUUUGUAUCUCGUAUAGUUCCAUGGAAAUAAAUAGGAGGCAUUACUUUUGGAACAGUAUUUCAAAUUUAUUGGAGUAAAAUGAACUUAAAAUGGCUAAUUAAAUAUCAUGUUGGUUUGAUUAUACAGAAUAAAACAGCACCUGAUUUUGCACAGCAUAUUCCUCCUUAAAUAGUAUGCAAAACAAUAACAGAUGCUUGUAAUUAAAAUGAUAUUUAUCAUUAAAAAGAAAAAAUCUGGUAAGUAAUUCAUAUAUUCAGCACGUAAGUCUAAUCUCAGUUCUCCCAUUUCUGCCCUUUUUGUUGAGCUGGAAACCAGGAAUUGGCUGAAGAUGCUUUUCAACCUGUUCAGUUUUCACUUUUGGCUACCUUUACAUUCUUCUUUCCCUAUCUCUUCAAUGAAGACAUGGUAGUCUUCUUUAUAUACAUCCUUAUCUUGUCACAACUCAUAAUUAAUAUCUAUUUUAGCCAUUGUUUUUAUGUACAUAUUAGCAAAUCUGCAUUUUUAAUUCCCACUUGCAUGCCUGUCUGGAUUCUGUUAUCUCCUGAGCAAAGGCAUAACAUCAUUUGAGGUUCUUGCCAAAAGUUUCUAUUUUCCCUGUUUUUGAUUUCAGUGUUCUUAGUAGUAACUCAGCUCCUAACUUUGCUUCUGAAACCAGAAAUCUAAGAAUUAUCCUUGAUACUCUCUUCUACAUUCCAGUUUUCUCUAAUGUUUUCUCUGUUUUUUGGAAUGCAGUUUGUGCUUAAUGUAGUAUUGCCUCCUCUUUCUGUGCUUGUGUCUUUUUUUUUUUUUUUUAAACUGGCUUCUUUUUUUAUAGUCUGUGUCCUUUUUCUGUUCAACUAGGUACCUUAAAGGCAGAUCUUAUUUCUUGAGACUGCAAAAGAAUAAUGGCAAGCCCUCUUUUGCUUCAGGAAGUAGAAGACCCAAGUAUUUUGCCUUUGUUUUUGAGCUGUGUAAAGCAAGGACAUGGCAACCUGACCACAUCUGAAGCAGAGUUGGAAAUGUUCCCAUCAGUCUUCCAGAGAUUCAGGAAAGAGCAUCUUUUAUUCCUUAAUAGCUUUCUCUUGACCAUCUGUGGUCAAGCCAUGCUUUCUCCUUACCGUUUCAAGAGCCUGGAUUGUUCUCAGAGCCAGAAGGGGAGAAGCAGAAAGUCCAGCUGCAUGAGGGAAUUCUGCUUUUUUCUUACCCUGUGACUAUUGGAAAGAUUCUUCUCUUCACAUUUCUUUACAUCUGAGCACAGGAUUUGGAAAUGCUUUGAAAGCUGAUAGCUUCAAGAAAGCAGAGGAGACUAAGAAGGAUAGAAUGAAUUCAGAGGGCAUGUUUUUCAAGAGCCAGGAAUCUGACAUACACGGAAUUGUGAACUCUUGUCGCAGAAGAUGAAGUUCUUAUGGUGAUAUGUUUCAAAUGAGACUAGCUGUGAUUCAGACACACCUGAUACAAGCAUAUCAUUAUCUCUGUCAUUUUCUCAUUAAUGAUCAUGUGGUUGUUAUAAAGAGCUGACAGAAAAUUGCAUAAAUUAUCAUACAAUUAUUAUAUAAUAAUUAGCCCUCAUAUGUAUAUAAUAUAGAAAAAUUAAGUCAUGAAAUGAACUUGCUUGCAGAAGUGCUAAAAAAAUUACCUGUCACACACAGUUUACACUGAAAAGGCAGUAGAAGAAUGCAUUUUUUCAUUGAUAAACGAAGCCUUAAAUCUCCAGGCAAACUGAAUUUCAUUAGCAGAGAAAUUAAAAUUUGAUCUUUCUAUUAAAAUAGCUGCCAAAGUUAAGGGAUCACAGCAAAUAUGCAUGAUAUGUUGCUCAUACCACCUGGGAAUGGGGGGAGUUUUCCCUUUUCCUACAGUAAGUAGUAGUUAUUACUCAGGGAGACCAUGCCCAGGGGUGCAGCCCUUCCAAGAACCAGGGCAUAAUUCUAGCCAUUGCAAAAAUUUUUCACUAUUUUCAAUUCUUAGUUCUGCUAACCAUGUAAAAGCACAGAGACAUUCCAAAGUAUCUGACAGAUAAUGUGUAUUUUUCUCAUUUGUUUUUCUCCAAAAGUUGUGAUAUAUUCUUUGUAGUGCAACCUUUGCAUUGUUUUGAAAUAAACUUGCUUUUCUACGUC